rnacentral:rRNA from 1 species
UACAGAGGCCCCAAGCGUUUGUUCGGAUUCACUGGGCGUAAAGGGUGCGUAGGCGGUUGGGUAAGUCUGUCGUGAAAUCUCCGAGCCUAACUCGGAAACUGCGUCGGAUACUAUUCAACUCGAGGAAUGGAGGGGAGACUGGAAUUCUCGGUGUAGCAGUGAAAUGCGUAGAUAUCGAGAGGAACACCAGUGGCGAAGGCGAGUCUCUGGACAUUUCCUGACGCUGAGGCACGAAAGCCAGGGGAGCAAACGGG